CCUUGCCCUUGUGAGUUUAUAAUGAGGACUGAAAAACCCAGAGAAUUGAACGCUUAAGCAAAAAAUGAUGGUAUGACACUGAAAAGCCAUACUGAAGUUCAACACAGCCUUUAGGUUGAUGCUGUCAGUUGUCAUUUCUCAUCAGGACAUAAAUGUGUGUUCAAGUGUCAAUGAUCGCUGUUAUACCUCCAAGGCUAUUGGUUCCAAAACUGGCCAAACUGAGAAAGACUUCAAGACCAUCCAAUCAAUUCUGCAGGCUUGUUCAACUCUUUGUCAGUGCUCCCUGUCAGUUUGCUCCGCCAUCUUGGCUUUCAACAGAUGCAUUGCACCAGGUGUCUCCGCCAUGUUGGUUCUACGGGGGUACGUGAGACCAAUGUUCUUCACCAUCAGGACUCUCACUGGAUACUUUGAAGAGGCACUCGCCUUCAGUUGGGACUUGAUUCAUUGCUUUAAGGAAGUGCUCUUCUCUCAGCAGUUCCUCCUAAAGAAAACACUCCUGUUUCUGUCCCAGUUGGCUCUUCGCAUCUUUACCUGACCACUUUGUCUUGAAUGAAUAUCGUUUUAAUGACUUUUCCUCCAGUAAAGUAACUUGAGUAAUGCUUUUCUUAUAACAUCCUUAAGGAACUGUGCAUCCUAGGACUAUUGCUUCAACGUCCCUUCAUGUGUUUAUUGUAUUUUCAACUGGCAUAUUAACUAUUAAAAUGUUUCCUUAA